rnacentral:rRNA from 1 species
GAACGCUCGUAGCAAUACGGGAGUGGCAGACGGGUGAGUAACGCGUGGGAACAUACCCUCCGGUUCGGAAUAGCUCAGGGAAACUUGGAUUAAUACCGGAUACGGCUGAGAGGCGAAAGAUUUAUCGCCGGAGGAUUGGCCCGCGUUCGAUUAGCUAGUUGGUGAGGUAACGGCUCACCAAGGCGAUGAUCGAUAGCUGGUCUGAGAGGAUGAUCAGCCACAUUGGGACUGAGACACGGCCCAAACUCCUACGGGAGGCAGCAGUGGGGAAUAUUGGACAAUGGGCGCAAGCCUGAUCCAGCCAUGCCGCGUGAGUGAUGACGGCCUUAGGGUUGUAAAGCUCUUUCGCUCGGGACGAUAAUGACGGUACCGAGAUAAGAAGCCCCGGCUAACUUCGUGCCAGCAGCCGCGGUAAU